GUUCCUGGGCUCAGUGCACUCUGAGUGCGGGUUCGUGAUGACUAGUCUUCAGUCUCGACAGUGAAUAUCAAUCUCCUGUUUGGAUUCCUGCUAGACACCUGAAAUUAUGUCCUGAAAAUGCAUACAACAACAAGACAGAGAAAUUUGCUGAAAAAGCACCACAGCAAGAAACAACUAACACAUCCAAUCAUCAAAAAGAAGAAAGUGACCAUGCUAACUCCUUUACAACAGACAAUCCAGUCAGCCAUCCUGAACAACUUGUCUCUGCAGAUCCAGAAUUCUUCACACCACUGGAUAUAUUGAAUGAAAGAAUGAGUGGUGCAGAGAACCCAUAAAUCAUGAAAUCCGAGAAGUUGGACACAAUGAAUACAGUGUUCUAUGAAGAUAAAUAUUAAUAAUAAAAUUGUUAAAAUUGAA